CGCACCGCGCUCCCACGCGAGGGCGCACCGCACCACACGAGCGAAAUAGUUCGAGCGAGCGAGCCGGCCUGCAUCUCCUCCCUCCGCCCGAGCCAUCGUCUCCCUCACCACACGCACACCCAAUCCCCUCCCCUCCAACCCUAGCCGCCCCGCUCCCCUCCCUCUCCACGGCGCCGCCGCCUCCUCCCCUUCUGCCCUGCUCUCCACCGUGCCGCCUCUUCCUCCUCUUCACUGCCCUCUCUAGCGGCGGCAAAGAUCUACCGACAAAAGGGAGACGACGGCGACGCUCGAUCCGAUCUGCUGAAGAGAAAAGAUGAGAGGGAGAGAGACAAGGAAGGAGAGGAGGGAGAAAGAUAGAGGAAAGAGGAGAGCGAGGUGUGAUGGCAGAUGAGAGAGGGUCACCGGAAGGAGCGUGACGACCUGCAGACAAAGGGCGGCGGCGGCGCCGCUCGAUUUGAUCUGCGGGAGAGAGAAUAUGAGAGGGAGAGAGAGAAGGAAGAACAUGAGAGGAGGGAGAAAGAGAGAGGAAAGAGGAGAGGGGGUUGACGGCCGACAGGAGAGGAUCACCGGAAGGAGUGCCGCCGGCUCGUCGUCUUUCACACCGGGUGAAGGAGCAGGGGAGGCGGGCAACAAGGAUGGGAAGCAUCGGGCCGUCAUGGUGCGGUGGAGAUGCUGGGAAGAAGGAGGAGGGCGUCUGCAUCAUCCCCAGGGGUGCUCGUGGAGCUGCUCGUCAAUGAGAUCCACCAUGGAGCAAGCCGUCGUGGCAGCACAUCCCCGCCCCCUCUGAGGCAAUAGAUCAAGCACACCAUCAAACUGAGGAGCUUCAGUAAGGUUGCUCACCAAUGAGCCGGAAGUGUUUUUGUCCUGGGUACUUGCAUGAUUGAAGAUGAAAUUGGGUAUUCCAAAAUGUGCUAUUGCAGAUCAAAGGUGAACUCAUCCCAUUUUCUUACUUCAAUCUCGGGUGAAUAUUUUCCUGUCCACUAACAUUCUCUUUUAUGUAAUUAUUUCAUUGAUCCAUGACGUCGGCCAUCCUUUGUUUGAAUGUUUAGCUUGCUUUUCGUACUAACUAUGAAUUCCUACAUUUGUAUAUUUGGCUCACGAUAAUAUAAACGAUGGUUCUUUUCAUUGUGGAAGUUAUAUUUCUAUUCAGAUAGGUCAUAUCGGUGCUUGAUAAUGUACGAACUGUGUUGAUCUAUCUAACCUACUGCCUCUCUGCAGUAAUUAGAAAUCAGAAAAUCAAAAGACAUAGACAGAAUUUGUCACACAUUUUGUUGGGUAUCAACACAAAAACUAUAGUCCUUUAGGGCAGCUUCCUACAGGUUAUCAAAACAAAUCUAUAGUUUUGUGCUGCCUAGGCUUUUACUGUUGGAAGGAGGAUACUCCAUGCGGUUCUUUGCCCCCAUCUGUGCUUUGUUGAUCUAUAUACAUUGGGUAAAGGUUCUUUGUUUUUUUAUUGAUGGUUGAUUGAAACUCAACUGUGUACUAAUUUAUAACUCGCAAUAAAAGGGAGAAGAAUCAACUCGAGCAUGUUCGGUAUAUGUAACUUGCAGAAAUUUAAUGUCAUCUUCUUCUUUGUAGGCCCCUAAGUUGGUUACUGAUGAUUUUUCUUAUGUGUGACCCAUCAUAGGAAUUGCCAGGAUCAUCCUCGAUGGAUUUAGGGAUGACCACAUGUAAAUGCGUUCCGUUUUUACAUUUCAAAUUUUGGCCUGAACCCUUCAUUGUGAGAUUACACAGCGAGAACCCUAGGUGUGUCCAUGGGCAAGAAUAGAUGGGGGUCAACAGUUGUUGCACAUGGAUACUGACCGCACUAGGAGUUAUUUUUAUUGUCAUACUCCUGCUCCCUCAUGUGUGAGAUGGCCCAUGACAUCCGCUUUUUCGAUCUGUAGUGGCAAAGGGUUCAAGUUCUUGGCUUUCUAGCCUGGGCUGAAUAAUUGUGUAGGCAAAGGGUUCAAUUUUUUGUUUUUCAUCUGUUCACAGAGUGUAGUUGAUGUUUUAAAAAUCCUGGCCCUUUUAGAUGUGAAUGCACCUUCAAAGCGUGACAGAAGUUAUGUUCCCCUUACCAAUUAACAGCCAAAAACACAACAUAUAUAUCCUAGAAGAACCCAAAAAUUAGAAUUACAUCGUGUUCAGCCUUUUAUAAUGUGCGGGUCCUUUAUUCUGCCUAUUAUCUCUAGCCAGUUCUUCCAAAGUUCCCUACAGAAUAAUACCCUCUCUAAUGCUAACAGUGGGCAUGACGGCGGCGAUGCUAGCGUAUGCAUCGGGCGUGGGCUGCUUCAGCUUUAGGAGAGAUUCGACGAUGGCGCAAGGGCCCCGUUUGCUUGCUGCGGCGUCACCAGCCCUUCUGCAGAGCUACAUGUAUAAUGCUACUCCAAGAUUUUAAUGGCAUGAAGAUGCGGUUAUCCGAGAAGAUGCAGUUCUGAAAUUUCUCACUUGAUCUAUUAUUGCAAGAACUGGUGAUCUACGUGUUAUAUACUUAUUCGGUGCCUACUGUCUUCUACCUGUGUUUUUGCCCCUUCAAUGCUGGUGCCUGGACUAUGAGCUUUGCCUUUUGACAUUUUCUUUUCCUCUGCUGCUAGCCAAGAUGCGGAGCGGUGGUCGACGGCGGCGGCCUGCAGCUCCCAAGUUGCAGCUGAAAGAUUAGUGAGACUGACUAAAUUCUGAACAUGUUCCAUGUGAGAGAACUAGCAUGUUGAUUUCAUCUUGAAAUAAUCAUAGCUGGGGGACGAGGUUUGUAACUGAGGGUCAUGUGCAGAGCCGGAGGAAGAAGUUGCGAGGCUUGGAACUCUCCUUGUGAAGGGCUCAGGGACAAGAGUGAGGACUAUGCCUCUUUAGUUGUAAUUGUGGUACUCCUGAUGUGCAAGUAAACACUCAUGUGAUACUCCUUAUGCUAAAAUGUUGGUUGUUCGUACAGAGGUGGUGACAUUAUUUGGUUCUCUGGUAUUGAUUUCAUGAUUUGUGGUUAAUAUAUGACGUAAUACAAUCCACAUUGCACUAUA